UGAAUACGAGAUGCUACGGCAUUGAAGCAGUGUAUGUCAGACUUCCAAGAAAAGCUCGCAGUGUCAUAAACAAUAAAUGCCUGUACCAUAACCGACACAGGUGGGUAGGUAGAGUAUACUAAGGGGCGCGAGAUAACUCUCUCUAAGGAACUCGGCAAAAUGACUCCGUAACUUCGGGAGAAGGAGUGCCUUAUUUUAUAAGGUUGCAAUAACAAGAUCCAAGCAACUGUUUACCAAAAACACAGGUCUCCGCUAAGUCGAAAGACGAUGUAUGGGGGCUGACGCCUGCCCAGUGCCAGAAGGUUAAAGAAGUUGGUUAGCUUCGGCGAAGCUGAUGACUGAAGCCCUGGUGAACGGCGGCCGUAACAAUAACGGUCCUAAGGUAGCGAAAUUCCUUGUCGGGUAAGUUCCGACCCGCACGAAAGGCGUAAUGAUUUGGAUACUGUCUCGGAGAGGGGCUCGGUGAAAUAGACUUGUCUGUGAAGAUGCGGACUACCUGCACCUGGACAGAAAGACCCUAUGAAGCUUUACUGUAACUUGAGAUUGAAAUUGGACUUUAUUUGCGCAGUAUAGGUGGGAGACGUUGAGAAUAUUCUUGCGGGAAUAUUGGAGUCAUCAGUGAGAUACCACUCUUGUAAUGUUAGAUUUCUAACUUUGUAUCAUUAUCUGGUCAAAGGACAGUUUCAGGCGGGCAGUUUGACUGGGGCGGUCGCCUCCUAAACGGUAACGGAGGCGCACAAAGGUUUCCUCUGAACGUGUAGAAAUCGUAUCUAGAGUGUAAAGGCAUAAGGAAGCUUGACUGUGAGACCUACAAGUCGAGCAGGGACGAAAGUCGGUCUUAGUGAUCUGACGGUGCUGAGUGGAAAGGCCGUCACUCAACGGAUAAAAGUUACUCUAGGAUAACAGGCUGAUCUCCCCCAAGAGUUCACAUCGACGGGGAGGUUUGGCACCUCGAUGUCGGCUCAUCGCAUCCUGGGGCGGUAGUACGUCCCAAGGGUUGGGCUGUUCGCCCAUGAAAGCGGUACGCGAGCUGGGUUCAGAACGUCGUGAGACAGUUCGGUCCAUAUCCGGUGUAGGCGUUAGAAUAUUGAGAGGAGCCUUCUUUAGUACGAGAGGACCGAGAAGGACAUACCUCUGGUGUACCAGUUAUCGUGCCAACGGUAAACGCUGGGUAGCUAUGUAUGGAGUGGAUAACCGCUGAAAGCAUCUAAGUGGGAAGCCCACCUCAAGAUAAGUAUUCUCGU
rnacentral:rRNA from 1 species